AAUGGAUCGCUUACGGCCAGGAGUAUGAGGUUGCAGUGAGCUAUGACGAUGCCACUGCACUCUGACCCCAGCGAAAGGGAAAGACUGUCUCAGAGGGGAAAAAAAAGGGCUGUACGGCCCAGUGUCAUCCUUAACUUUGGAAAUCACUACUUCCCAAAGAAAAGCCCUGCAUCUGUAAUGUAAGAGAUGGAGACACUUUUCCACUGAUCUUGGCUGAGCUGAAGAAGAAUCUAAACGUCUCGACACUCCUAUGACACAGCCUGCAGAAGUGUCUGUAGAGCGCAGGGAGCAGUGGUGCGGACACACCACCUGAUUGCUUUGAGAUGUAAAGUCACGGAGUGCAAAGACCACAGGUCUCCGAACUUGAAGUCUAGGUGCAAGAUACAACCUUGCGGGUAUUUCAGAGCUCGCCGGUCAUCCUUUCUGAACCGAGAGCGCCAGGCAAGACGGAGCUGUGGACUGGAGUCCUGAAAGGACAGCGCACGUCGAGCAAGAUACAACCUUGCGGGUAUUUCAGAGCUCGCCUGUCAUCCUUUCUGAACCCAGAGCGCCAGGCAAGACGGAGCUGUGGACUGGAGUCCUGAAAGGACAGCGCACGUCGAGCAAGGAGGACUCCGCAGUCGCCUGGUGCGGUCCUCGUCAUGCUCGUACCCUGACGCUCCCUUGUCCAGCUCCAUUCUUCAGAUUUGUCUUCUCCGCUUCACUUGGGCAAAGCCUGGCCAGAACUUGGCUUGCUCCCGCAUGGACACCUGUUUCAGUCAGAGUUGCUCGGCUUGACGUCUCUGCACACAUCAGCGCCUGAGAAAUGUCCAUACUCUUUCAUUAAAAUUGCAGUAAAAGCCAUGAAGGACCUUGCUAAUAAUUAAUGGAAGUUUCGAGGAACGCUAAGCUCAAUAACUUACUACCAUUCCCUGUAGGCCUGUGAAGGGCUAGAUUUGGACAGCAGCACGCGGGCAGGGAACGCUGUGGAACACCUGUCUGCGGCGGGCAAGCCCAUCGUGGGGCCGAGCCGCGGCACACAGGGAGGCGACGCCCGUUCUUCAAGUGUAAAGCUUGACUGCUCUCCUCUCCGGGGCUCGGCCUCCACUUCGUAUUGGCUUUGAAUUACAUAAUGUGAUUUCCAAGGAGGAGUGCCAGUUAACAAGAUAAAACUGUGCUCUUUGCCCAUAUGUAUUCUGUUAUGUUCCCGGGCAGCCCCCUCAGUGCCUAUAUAAGCCCUAACUCCAUGUGUACUGAGUAAUUCUCUUUUUUUCUUCUUUGCCUGGACUUUUAAACUGAAUAAUUCUCUUCUAACUAGGUCUUUCCAACUGUCAAAGGAAGUAAAUGAAUUGAACUUUUCUGGGGGCUUAUAAGGGUAAGAAAGUACAAAGAUUUUAUAGCAGGAACAGAGCACUUAAUAUGUUAUACUUAUUAGUUUUUCCUUUCAGCCUAUUAAAUGCACAAAUCUCUCUCCCCUUCUCUGUCUCUCUCACUCCUUUUUAA